UUCUUUACUUUAAAAUACUUCGAGAGCUGCCUUUCCAAAUUCAUUCAAUGUUCACGUGUAAACUGAAUGUCAUGUUCUCAAAAUAAGUUGAAUAUGUAUUUGAAUACAUUCUGUCUCUCUCUACCAAGGUUUUUAGACUGUAUAUUUUCAUUCAGUUUUCUUCAAGUCACCAGAAUGUCAUGUGGAGUGAGGGGGUUAUAUAAUAUAAUUCCUUUAGCAACUGUAUUUAUGUAUGGUAUGUUUUUUGGCAGGCAUUAAACCAAAGGAAGAGGGCAGCAGCGUUGCAGGGCCUACCAUGGUACAUGAGGGAGAAUCCUUCUACAUUCAUGAAGAUUUGUGAGUCCCCUUCCGGCUUCCUACAACGAUGUUUCCCUCGUGAUUGAGGAAAUGAUUGUCAUACAUCACCUGGGUGGUGUACCCAACCCUCUUGUGAACCUGAUGGGACUGCUGCACAUGCUGAACCUUGAUUAUCCAAAAGACUUGGGAAUUGGGUUGGACUCGUGCACUCCUAGGGUCCACUAUCUGAAGAAUGAAUUGCUCAGAGAGAUGGCCUAUAAGAUGUCUCUGCAUUUGUCCCAAAGGAAGCAUUCUCACUUUUUGCUAUUCGUCCAGAAAUGUAUAACCCUUUUGUGGGUUACACCAGUUUAUUUUAUGUUUUCAUGUUCUGACUGAACUCUAUUGCUCUCUUUGGAGGAAAUAUGCCUAUGAGAUACAUGAAUGUGUAUUUUAUGUUGUAGAGCAACCAUGAACAGAGUGGAAAUUUGAGUAAUGUUUGAAAUAUGUUUUCAUGUUCUGACUGACAUUUGAGUCACCUUUCUCAUUUCUCUCUCUCAUUUCUCAUUUAGAGAUAUAUAUUUUUUCUGUGUAUGUCUUUCUGCAUUUUACUGCAGCAACCCUGAACACUCACUCCUCAGAGUGGGCUCUGUUGAACAAGUCACUUAAUUAGAGAGUUGGUUUUUCCCCCAAAGGAUGGAUGCUCUUCUUUUUACAUGUGGGAGAUGGUGUAAUUUCAGUUUUUGAGCAGCUCUGAGCAAGAGAGAGGAUGUGUGAGAGGGCGUGAAGGCUUUUUUUUUGUCUACAUGUUCCAAAGGGAGGCAACACUGAACACUUAUUGAAUGUGGGUGGGUUGGAGUAGAAAUACAGUUCUUGAGAUUGUAAUAAAAGUUCUGAUUUAAA